AGAGUUUGAUCAUGGCUCAGAUUGAACGCUGGCGGCAUGCCUUACACAUGCAAGUCGAACGGCAGCGCGGGAGCAAUCCUGGCGGCGAGUGGCGAACGGGUGAGUAAUACAUCGGAACGUGUCCAGUAGUGGGGGAUAGCCCGGCGAAAGCCGGAUUAAUACCGCAUACGAUCUUAGGAUGAAAGCGGGGGAUCGCAAGACCUCGCGCUAUUGGGGCGGCCGAUGGCAGAUUAGCUAGUUGGUGGGGUAAAGGCCUACCAAGGCGACGAUCUGUAGCUGGUCUGAGAGGACGACCAGCCACACUGGGACUGAGACACGGCCCAGACUCCUACGGGAGGCAGCAGUGGGGAAUUUUGGACAAUGGGCGCAAGCCUGAUCCAGCAAUGCCGCGUGUGUGAAGAAGGCCUUCGGGUUGUAAAGCACUUUUGUCCGGAAAGAAAACCUUUGGGCUAAUACCUCGAGGGGAUGACGGUACCGGAAGAAUAAGCACCGGCUAACUACGUGCCAGCAGCCGCGGUAAUACGUAGGGUGCGAGCGUUAAUCGGAAUUACUGGGCGUAAAGCGUGCGCAGGCGGUUCGCUAAAACCGAUGUGAAAUCCCCGGGCUUAACCUGGGAACUGCAUUGGUGACUGGCGGGCUAGAGUGUGGCAGAGGGGGGUAGAAUUCCACGUAGCAGUGAAAUGCGUAGAGAUGUGGAGGAAUACCGAUGGCGAAGGCAGCCCCCUGGGCCAACACUGACGCUCAUGCACGAAAGCGUGGGGAGCAAACAGGAUUAGAUACCCCGGUAGUCC
rnacentral:rRNA from 1 species